rnacentral:rRNA from 1 species
AGUGCAUGUGGUGGAUGCCUUGGCAGUCAGAGGCGAUGAAAGACGUGAUAGCCUGCGAAAAGCUCCGGGGAGGCGGCAAAUAUCCUUUGAUCCGGAGAUGUCUGAAUGGGGGAACCCACCUACUUUAAGGUAGGUAUUGCAACAUGAAUACAUAGUGUUGCAAGGCGAACGAGGGGAAGUGAAACAUCUCAGUACCCUUAGGAAAAGAAAUCAAUUGAGAUUCCCUCAGUAGCGGCGAGCGAACGGGGAUCAGCCCAUUAAGUUAUGUGUGUUUUAGUGGAACGCUCUGGGAAGUGCGAACGUAGAGGGUGAUAUUCCCGUACACGAAAGGGCACACAUAAUGAUGACGAGUAGGGCGAGGCACGUGAAACCUUGUCUGAAUAUGGGGGGACCAUCCUCCAAGGCUAAAUACUCCUGACUGACCGAUAGUGAACCAGUACCGUGAGGGAAAGGCGAAAAGAACCCCUGUGAGGGGAGUGAAAUAGAUCCUGAAACCGCAUGCAUACAAGCAGUGGGAGCACCUUCGUGGUGUGACUGCGUACCUUUUGUAUAAUGGGUCAGCGACUUAUAUUCAGUAGCAAGGUUAACCGUAUAGGGGAGCCGUAGAGAAAUCGAGUCUUAAUAGGGCGUUUAGUUGCUGGGUAUAGACCCGAAACCAGGCGAUCUAUCCAUGAGCAGGUUGAAGGUUGGGUAACACUAACUGGAGGACCGAACCCACUGUCGUUGAAAAGCCAGGGGAUGACUUGUGGAUAGGGGUGAAAGGCUAAUCAAGCCUGGUGAUAGCUGGUUCUCCCCGAAAGCUAUUUAGGUAGCGCCUCGGACGAAUACCAUAGGGGGUAGAGCACUGUUUCGGCUAGGGGGUCAUCCCGACUUACCAAACCGAUGCAAACUCCGAAUACCUAUGAGUACUAUCCGGGAGACAGACUGCGGGUGCUAACGUCCGUAGUCAAGAGGAAAACAAUCCAGACCGCCAGCUAAGGCCCCAAAAUCAUAGUUAAGUGGGAAACGAUGUGGGAAGGCAUAGACAGCUAGGAGGUUGGCUUAGAAGCAGCCACCCUUUAAAGAAAGCGUAAUAGCUCACUAGUCGAGUCGGCCUGCGCGGAAGAUGUAACGGGGCUAAAACUAUGUGCCGAAGCUGCGGAUUUGACAUUAGUCAAGUGGUAGGGGAGCGUUCUGUAAGCCGAUGAAGGUGUAUUGAGAAGUNGUCGGCCUGCGCGGAAGAUGUAACGGGGCUAAAACUAUGUGCCGAAGCUGCGGAUGUAUACUUUGUAUACGUGGUAGGGGAGCGUUCUGUAAGCCGAUGAAGGUGUGUUGAGAAGCAUGCUGGAGGUAUCAGAAGUGCGAAUGCUGACGUGAGUAACGACAAAACGGGUGAAAAACCCGUUCGCCGAAAGACCAAGGGUUCCAGUCCAACGUUAAUCGGGGCUGGGUGAGUCGACCCCUAAGGCGAGGCCGAAAGGCGUAGUCGAUGGGAAAAUGGUUAAUAUUCCAUUACUUCUGUGUAAUGCGAUGAGAGGACGGAGAAGGCUAAAUCAGCCUGGCGUUGGUUGUCCAGGUGAAAGGAUGUAGGCAUGUAUCUUAGGCAAAUCCGGGGUACUCUAUGCUGAGAUCUGAUAGCAAGCUGUACUUGUACAGCGAAGUGGUUGAUGCCAUGCUUCCAGGAAAAGUCUCUAAGCUUCAGUUACACAGGAAUCGUACCCGAAACCGACACAGGUGGUCAGGUCGAGUAGACCAAGGCGCUUGAGAGAACUCUGCUGAAGGAACUAGGCAAAAUGGUACCGUAACUUCGGGAGAAGGUACGCUGUUGUUGGUGAUGGAACUCGCUUCCUGAGCUGACGACAGCCGCAGAAACCAGGCCGCUGCAACUGUUUAUUAAAAACAUAGCACUCUGCAAACACGAAAGUGGACGUAUAGGGUGUGAUGCCUGCCCGGUGCUGGAAGGUUAAUUGAUGGGGUUAGCGUAAGCGAAGCUCUUGAUCGAAGCCCCAGUAAACGGCGGCCGUAACUAUAACGGUCCUAAGGUAGCGAAAUUCCUUGUCGGGUAAGUUCCGACCUGCACGAAUGGCAUAAUGAUGGCGGCGCUGUCUCCAGCAGAGGCUCAGUGAAAUCGAAAUCGCUGUGAAGAUGCAGUGUACCCGCGGCUAGACGGAAAGACCCCGUGAACCUUUACUGCAGCUUGACACUGAACUUUGACCUUACUUGUGUAGGAUAGGUGGGAGGCUUUGAAGCUGGAACGCUAGUUCCAGUGGAGCCGUCCUUGAAAUACCACCCUGGUAAUGUUGAGGUUCUAACUCUGUCCCGUGAUCCGGGACGAGGACCGUGUCUGGUGGGUAGUUUGACUGGGGCGGUCUCCUCCUAAAGAGUAACGGAGGAGUACGAAGGUGCGCUCAGCGUGGUCGGAAAUCACGCGUAGAGUAUAAAGGCAAAAGCGCGCUUAACUGCGAGACCCACAAGUCGAGCAGGUACGAAAGUAGGUCUUAGUGAUCCGGUGGUUCUGUAUGGAAGGGCCAUCGCUCAACGGAUAAAAGGUACUCUGGGGAUAACAGGCUGAUACCGCCCAAGAGUUCAUAUCGACGGCGGUGUUUGGCACCUCGAUGUCGGCUCAUCUCAUCCUGGGGCUGAAGCAGGUCCCAAGGGUAUGGCUG